GGGCCCGCACAAGCGGUGGAGCAUGUGGUUUAAUUCGAUGAUACGCGAGGAACCUUACCAGGGCUUAAAUGUAGUGGGACAGAUCCAGAGAUGGAUCCUUCUUCGGACUCAUUACAAGGUGCUGCAUGGUUGUCGUCAGCUCGUGCCGUGAGGUGUCAGGUUAAGUCCUAUAACGAGCGCAACCCCUAUCGUUAGUUGCCAGCGGGUCAUGCCGGGAACUCUAGCGAAACUGCCGGUGCAAACCGUGAGGAAGGUGGGGAUGACGUCAAAUCAUCACGGCCCUUACGUCCUGGGCUACACACGUGCUACAAUGGCCGGUACAGAGAGCAGCCACUACGCGAGUAGGAGCGAAUCUAUAAAACCGGUCUCAGUUCGGAUCGCAGUCUGCAACUCGACUGCGUGAAGCUGGAAUCGCUAGUAAUCG
rnacentral:rRNA from 1 species